UACACUACUUAAAAAGGAGGAACAUGUUCCUUAUUCUGCCAAUACGUAUUUUGGUCGUCCUUCGUCGCUCCCCUUGCGCUCGCCCCGCGUUCCUCCUCCGCCACGACUAACCCUCUCCUCCAACUUUCCACCGCCAACUAUACCCCUAAAUCCCACUUCCUCCGCCUCCACUCGCCACGCCGCCGCCUGCCCGUUCCCCGUCUCUCCCUCACGCCCCCCGCCGCUGCCAGCGCCGGUUCCGCCCCCUCGCCUUCCCCCUCCGUCUCCGUCCCCCCCACCCCCGCCCCCUCUCUUCUCCAACUGGUCCCCGCCGCGCGCGAUCUGGCGGGUGCUCUCCGCGCUGCUCCUGGCAGGCCAGGUCUUCCACCGCAUCCUCACGGGCCGCAUCCACCGCCGCAACCUCCUCAAAUCUGCAGGAUACAGGGGCGAAAUUGUGCGCUUGUAUAAGAGAGAGAUCGAAUGGAUCCUGGCCGCCGCCGCUGGGCAUCACGAGGAAGAGUGGAGGCGGAUUCGAUUCGCAGAGUUGGGACGAGAUGAGAGGAAGAAGGGGGCCGGACGAACUCCAGCGAGGGAGCGAGGGGGGCGAGAGUGGAGAUAGCGACACCUCAUAGUUCAAGCCUGCGGCGGUGACACCGUCCUCCUCCCUCGCGCUGGAAGGCGGCGAAACAGCCAUCCAUGGAGACGGAGGGCGCCACAGGCGCACUCACGCUGGUCACGCAGAACACAUCAACGCGUCGAAGGUUAGAUAAACCUCGAGCUCCAGUAGCAGCAGCUCAUCUCCAAGGUAUUCAGGUUUCACCCUUCCUUCCCGUGCUCGCACUACUUUCUGAACCCAAGCUUACUUUAGGCCAUGGAUUCUUGGACCAAAUCAGCGUGCUGGGCAGCAACCUGUAUCUCUUGGUGACUACAGCAGCAAGGGCGGUCGAUGGUGUCCUCUGGAAAAGUAGCAUUGGAAGCCACAGCCAAAAUCCGCUUGUCACUUUUUGGAUUCUACCACCUACAGAGUAUGUCUCAUCAGCUCACAAACCUGAUGCGCACCAUCUGGUUGAAGGAAUGGCUAAACGAUCUUGCUGUAGCCUUUUAUGUUACUCUUAUUUGUUCCUUUAUCCUGCCUAAGUUAUAGUAUUACUGCUUCACAACAAUGAUGAGCUGAUGUCAAUAUGCCAAACAUUUUGUGUAUCUAGGUGGCUUUGACUGCAUAGAAUCUGUGUUGAUGUAUUUAGCCAUGGCCUUUAUGUCACAUGUAUGACACAGGCGUAUUUAGCCAAGGUAUUUUACCUAUCCUUUUUAGAUUAUUCUAUAGCAUGUAUACUUGUGGUGGUUGAUUGCCGCUGUCAGAGCAGCGACUAUGCGGGUAGAGGAAGUUAGAAAUAACCACCUUUGAGCAGAAUGCUGCAUCCAGCAUCACAGUUUUGUGCAGGUCUCGAUUUUGUUCUUUUUUCUUUGAGUAACAAGAGAGGGUUGCAUGGAUGAACCUGCACCUUUUUUUGCGUUCUAGAUAUUCUUUGGCCAUUGGGAAGGGGCAUGUUAAUUUGGUCAACGAGAAAUUACAAAAGUUGAUAUACAGUGUAUAUCAACUUGAUCAGAAGGAAUUGGACAGGUUAGCUGUGAUCUCAAUGGUUGGGCUGGCUGCUGAAGGUCUAGAGUACAACAAGGUUGUUGGCCAAUCAUCAGAUCUCUCCACCCUUCAGGUGAUGUGCUUCAGGGGCAUCGGCUGAAAAAUAAGAAAUUUUAAUUAUUGAGGGAGUUAAUGCGCAUUCCAAUGGAUAGCAACAAGCUCUUUUUGACUGGACAACCCCUUCAAAAAGCCUAGCAGAACUGUGGUCACAGUUGGACUUCAUUCUGCCUAAUAUAUUCUCAUCCCAUCAGGAAUUGGAGCCAUCAUAUGAUUUGUUGUGCUAACACAUGCAUCACUGCCGCUCUCUACUCUACGGAAUGUCUGCGUAUGCUAUUAUUGUUCAGGGUUUCCAUAUUCUGAGAGCACUUUUGUUCACCGUCUCAUUUUCAGGUUCAUUUCUUUGGAAAAUUCUUGGAUACCUGGUUUUAUAUUGGUUUGGGAAAUCUACACCUGACAUUUUGCAAUGGCUAAUGGUCAGAAUAGUUUCUUCAGUUUGAUAUCCUAUUCCUUAGUACUUUAAUAUGUAACUAGCAAAUGGGAGGGCAUCAACUGUACUCCUUUUAGAGAAGAGUAUCUUUGUCAAUGUGUCAAAAUUGAUUGGGAAAUGCAUUUCUUGACUCAUGGACAUUCACAUUGAUCGCGGAUGGUCGGAUCAGUGGCAGGCUGGGAGCGGCUGCAGCAAGGGUGUCUGCGUGCCUGAUCUAUCGCUUAAGGUUUUCUCCAUCUCGAAUUCUCCAGCUGAUUAACUUCAUUUAUUAUGUAAGCAUUUGUCUGUAAUAUGUUGAGUACAAUUUCUCCAGGCAAACUAUAGUGCUUAUUGUUUCCACUUUUAUACUGUCAGAUGUUGCUGGGAAGUCUUUUGAACUUGUACAUAUGCUGAUGUGACCACUAUGAUCAAAUGCUCCGUCUCAUGACAGAAGUUAGAGAAUUUUGUAUUUUAACCAUCAUUUUAAUUUUUUUUACCCGUGGCAACGCACGGGCAUUUU